rnacentral:rRNA from 1 species
ACUGUUUGGACGAGGGGCCCCUCUCGGGUUACCGAAUUCAGACAAACUCCGAAUGCCAAUUAAUUUAACUUGGGAGUCAGAACAUGGGUGAUAAGGUCCGUGUUCGAAAGGGAAACAGCCCAGACCACCAGCUAAGGUCCCAAAAUAUAUGUUAAGUGGAAAAGGAUGUGGCGUUGCCCAGACAACUAGGAUGUUGGCUUAGAAGCAGCCAUCAUUUAAAGAGUGCGUAAUAGCUCACUAGUCGAGUGACACUGCGCCGAAAAUGUACCGGGGCUAAACAUAUUACCGAAGCUGUGGAUUGUCCUUUGGACAAUGGUAGGAGAGCGUUCUAAGGGCGUUGAAGCAUGAUCGUAAGGACAUGUGGAGCGCUUAGAAGUGAGAAUGCCGGUGUGAGUAGCGAAAGACGGGUGAGAAUCCCGUCCACCGAUUGACUAAGGUUUCCAGAGGAAGGCUCGUCCGCUCUGGGUUAGUCGGGUCCUAAGCUGAGGCCGACAGGCGUAGGCGAUGGAUAACAGGUUGAUAUUCCUGUACCACCUAUAAUCGUUUUAAUCGAUGGGGGGACGCAGUAGGAUAGGCGAAGCGUGCGAUUGGAUUGCACGUCUAAGCAGUAAGGCUGAGUAUUAGGCAAAUCCGGUACUCAUUAAGGCUGAGCUGUGAUGGGGAGAAGACAUUGUGUCUUCGAGUCGUUGAUUUCACACUGCCGAGAAAAGCCUCUAGAUAGAAAAUAGGUGCCCGUACCGCAAACCGACACAGGUAGUCAAGAUGAGAAUUCUAAGGUGAGCGAGCGAACUCUCGUUAAGGAACUCGGCAAAAUGACCCCGUAACUUCGGGAGAAGGGGUGCUCUUUAGGGUUAACGCCCAGAAGAGCCGCAGUGAAUAGGCCCAAGCGACUGUUUAUCAAAAACACAGGUCUCUGCUAAACCGUAAGGUGAUGUAUAGGGGCUGACGCCUGCCCGGUGCUGGAAGGUUAAGAGGAGUGGUUAGCUUCUGCGAAGCUACGAAUCGAAGCCCCAGUAAACGGCGGCCGUAACUAUAACGGUCCUAAGGUAGCGAAAUUCCUUGUCGGGUAAGUUCCGACCCGCACGAAAGGCGUAACGAUUUGGGCACUGUCUCAACGAGAGACUCGGUGAAAUCAUAGUACCUGUGAAGAUGCAGGUUACCCGCGACAGGACGGAAAGACCCCGUGGAGCUUUACUGUAGCCUGAUAUUGAAAUUCGGCACAGCUUGUACAGGAUAGGUAGGAGCCUUUGAAACGUGAGCGCUAGCUUACGUGGAGGCGCUGGUGGGAUACUACCCUAGCUGUGUUGGCUUUCUAACCCGCACCACUUAUCGUGGUGGGAGACAGUGUCAGGCGGGCAGUUUGACUGGGGCGGUCGCCUCCUAAAAGGUAACGGAGGCGCUCAAAGGUUCCCUCAGAAUGGUUGGAAAUCAUUCAUAGAGUGUAAAGGCAUAAGGGAGCUUGACUGCGAGACCUACAAGUCGAGCAGGGUCGAAAGACGGACUUAGUGAUCCGGUGGUUCCGCAUGGAAGGGCCAUCGCUCAACGGAUAAAAGCUACCCCGGGGAUAACAGGCUUAUCUCCCCCAAGAGUUCACAUCGACGGGGAGGUUUGGCACCUCGAUGUCGGCUCAUCGCAUCCUGGGGCUGUAGUCGGUCCCAAGGGUUGGGCUGUUCGCCCAUUAAAGCGGUACGCGAGCUGGGUUCAGAACGUCGUGAGACAGUUCGGUCCCUAUCCGUCGUGGGCGUAGGAAAUUUGAGAGGAGCUGUCCUUAGUACGAGAGGACCGGGAUGGACAUACCU